UAAGGAAUAUUGGACAAUGGUCGCAAGACUGAUCCAGCCAUGCCGCGUGCAGGAAGACGGCCCUAUGGGUUGUAAACUGCUUUUGUACCAGAGAAAACCUAUCUACGUGUAGAUAGCUGAUAGUAUGGUAAGAAUAAGCACCGGCUAACUCCGCGCCAGCAGCCGCGGUAAUACGGAGGGUGCGAGCGUUAUCCGGAUUUACUGGGUUUAAAGGGUGCGUAGGUGGGCUUAUAAGUCAGUGGUUAAAUCUCCGAGCUUAACUUGGAAACUGCCGUUGAUACUAUAGGUCUUGAAUUAUCUGGAGGUAAGCGGGAUAUGUCAUGUAGCGGUGAAAUGCUUAGAUAUGACAUAGAACACCAGUUGCGAAGGCAGCUUACUACAUAUAAAUUGACGCUGAGGCACGAAAGCGUGGGGAUCAAACAG
rnacentral:rRNA from 1 species